rnacentral:rRNA from 1 species
AUUGAACGCUAGCGGGAUGCUUUACACAUGCAAGUCGAACGGCAGCGCGGACUUCGGUCUGGCGGCGAGUGGCGAACGGGUGAGUAAUGUAUCGGAACGUGCCCAGUAGCGGGGGAUAACUACGCGAAAGCGUAGCUAAUACCGCAUACGCCCUACGGGGGAAAGCAGGGGAUCGUAAGACCUUGCACUAUUGGAGCGGCCGAUAUCGGAUUAGCUAGUUGGUGAGGUAACGGCUCACCAAGGCGACGAUCCGUAGCUGGUUUGAGAGGACGACCAGCCAAGAGUGGAGUAGGAGAGGGCCCGGGUACCACCGGGAGGCAGCAGUGGGGCGUGUGGGCGAAAGGGGGCAAGCCUGAAACAGCCAUGCCGCGUGGACGAUGAAGGCCUUCGGGUUGGAAAGCACUCUUGGCAGGAAAGAAACGUAGCGGGCUAAUACCCCGUGGAACUGACGGGACCGGCAGAAUAAGCACCGGCUAACUACGU